rnacentral:rRNA from 1 species
UAGGGAAUCUUCCGCAAUGGGCGAAAGCCUGACGGAGCAACGCCGCGUGAGUGAUGAAGGUCUUCGGAUCGUAAAACUCUGUUAUUAGGGAAGAACAAAUGUGUAAGUAACUAUGCACGUCUUGACGGUACCUAAUCAGAAAGCCACGGCUAACUACGUGCCAGCAGCCGCGGUAAUACGUAGGUGGCAAGCGUUAUCCGGAAUUAUUGGGCGUAAAGCGCGCGUAGGCGGUUUUUUAAGUCUGAUGUGAAAGCCCACGGCUCAACCGUGGAGGGUCAUUGGAAACGGGAAAACUUGAGUGCAGAAGAGGAAAGUGGAAUUCCAUGUGUAGCAGUGAAAUGCGCAGAGAUAUGGAGGAACACCAGUGGCGAAGGCGACUUUCUGGUCUGUAACUGACGCUGAUGUGCGAAAGCGUGGGGAUCAAACAGG